AAUGGGUUCCUCCCUCAGCAGAUAAAACCAGCCCUGCCAUCACCCUGCAGCUCUGGCAAGGAGCCCAGCCCCAGGAUCCCGUUCUGUGAUCCGGAAAGAACACAGACCACCCGCCAUGGAGUUUCGGCUGAACUGGGUGGUCUUGUUUGCUCUCUUACAAGGUGUCCAGGGUGAGGAGAAGCUGGUGGAGUCUGGAGGAGGCCUGGUGCAGCCUGGGGGGUCUCUGAGACUCUCCUGUGUCGGCUCUGGAUUCGACUUCAGUGACUACGCUUUCAGCUGGGUCCGCCAGGCUCCAGGGAAGGGGCUGGAGUGGGUCGCAGCCAUUGCUAGUAGUGACUAUGACGGUAGCACCUACUACGCAGACUCUGUGAAGGGCCGAUUCACCAUCUCCAGCGACGACUCCCAGAACAUGGUGUAUCUGCAAAUGAACAGCCUCAGAACCGAAGACACGGCCCGCUAUUACUGUGCGAUAGGCACAGUGAGGGGAAGGCCGUGUGAGCCCAGACACAAACCUCCCUGCAGGCACCCAGGGGACUGGGCUCCAGGGGGCGCUCAGAACCCACAACGUGGGUGCUUCAGGCUCAGGAGCAGGUGCAGAGGGAGGGGAAGGGCUGGUUUCCUGCCAGGGUCUGCGGCUUCCUCUCCAUGUGGCAGCUCCCUAGGGAUCCUCUCUGCACACAUGCUUCUGUGCUUACACAUGCAGUCUCUGAAUUAGAAAGGCCUUUGCGAC